GUCGACAGAUUAAUUUACUUGACUGUUUUGAGGCUGAAUAUAACAUAUGCUGUAUAUGUCCUGAGUAGAUUUAUGCACCAACCUCGAAAACUCCAUAUGGAGGCAGCUCUUCGGGUCGUCCGAUAUCUAAAAGGUGCUCUUGGAAAAGGUCUCUUCUUCUCUUCGAAUAGUGAUUUCAAGUUGAGAGCUUACUGUGACUCGGAUUGGGUAGGCCGCCCACUCACUAGGAGAUCUACUACGAGUUAUUGUGUCUUUCUUGGACCUUCAUUGAUAUCUUAGAGGUCGAGACGACAGAAAACAGUUUCACUUUCUUCUACUGAGGCGGAAUACCGUGCAACGACAGGAGCCUACUGUGAGUUGACAUGGCUUCGAUAUCUAUUGAAAGACUUGGGACUUUCACAUCAUGAACCUACUUUGCUUUAUUGUGAUAACAAGGCUGCCUGACACAUUGUAGCCAAUCCAAUUUUUCAUGAGCGAACUAGGCACAUUGAGAUGGAUUGCCAUUACAUUAGAGAUAAGAUCCAAGAUGGUUCUGUGACUACAAAAUAUGUAAAUUCUACACAUCAACUAGCAGAUGUCUUGAAAAAGUCCUUGGGGAAAGAGAUUUUUGUUCCUAUGAUUCACAAGUUGGGAGUGCGAGAUAUCCACUCUCCAACUUGAGGGGGAGUAUUAGGAAAUAAAGCUGUAUAUAUUAUCUUUCUUAUUUGUAGCAUAUUAUCUUUCCUAUUGUAUUGCCUAACUUUUAGCUAGACAACUCAUAAUCCCUGAUUUGUAGGAGUAGUCAAUUUUUCUUCCUAUAUAAAUACACGAUAGAGUAUCAAUAAUAUUUAUUCAAGCAAAUUCAAUAUCUCUUCCAUCUUUUCAUCUAAUCAUUUUUGGCCAAAUGUC
rnacentral:lncRNA from 1 species